rnacentral:rRNA from 1 species
CCUACGGGAGGCAGCAGUGGGGAAUAUUGCACAAUGGGCGCAAGCCUGAUGCAGCAACGCCGCGUGAGGGACGACGGCCUUCGGGUUGUAAACCUCUUUUAGUAGGGAAGAAGCGAAAGUGACGGUACCUGCAGAAAAAGCACCGGCUAACUACGUGCCAGCAGCCGCGGUAAUACGUAGGGUGCAAGCGUUAUCCGGAAUUAUUGGGCGUAAAGAGCUCGUAGGCGGUUUGUCACGUCUGCUGUGAAAACUGGAGGCUCAACCUCCAGCCUGCAGUGGGUACGGGCAGACUAGAGUGCGGUAGGGGAGAUUGGAAUUCCUGGUGUAGCGGUGGAAUGCGCAGAUAUCAGGAGGAACACCGAUGGCGAAGGCAGAUCUCUGGGCCGUAACUGACGCUGAGGAGCGAAAGCAUGGGGAGCGAACAGGAUUAGAUACCCUGGUAGUCCAUGCCGUAAACGUUGGGAACUAGAUGUAGGGACCAUUCCACGGUUUCUGUGUCGCAGCUAACGCAUUAAGUUCCCCGCCUGGGGAGUACGGCCGCAAGGCUAAAACUUAAAGGAAUUGACGG